UAGAGUUUGAUCCUGGCUCAGGACGAACGCUGUCGGCGCGCCUAACACAUGCAAGUCGAACGAGCGAGAGAGAGCUUGCUUUCUCGAGCGAGUGGCGAACGGGUGAGUAACGCGUGAGGAACCUGCCUCAAAGAGGGGGACAACAGUUGGAAACGACUGCUAAUACCGCAUAAGCCCACAGCUCGGCAUCGAGCAGAGGGAAAAGGAGCAAUCCGCUUUGAGAUGGCCUCGCGUCCGAUUAGCUAGUUGGUGAGGUAAUGGCCCACCAAGGCGACGAUCGGUAGCCGGACUGAGAGGUUGAACGGCCACAUUGGGACUGAGACACGGCCCAGACUCCUACGGGAGGCAGCAGUGGGGAAUAUUGCACAAUGGGGGAAACCCUGAUGCAGCGACGCCGCGUGGAGGAAGAAGGUCUUCGGAUUGUAAACUCCUGUUGUUGAGGAAGAUAAUGACGGUACUCAACAAGGAAGUGACGGCUAACUACGUGCCAGCAGCCGCGGUAAAACGUAGGUCACAAGCGUUGUCCGGAAUUACUGGGUGUAAAGGGAGCGCAGGCGGGAAGACAAGUUGGAAGUGAAAUCCAUGGGCUCAACCCAUGAACUGCUUUCAAAACUGUUUUUCUUGAGUAGUGCAGAGGUAGGCGGAAUUCCCGGUGUAGCGGUGGAAUGCGUAGAUAUCGGGAGGAACACCAGUGGCGAAGGCGGCCUACUGGGCACCAACUGACGCUGAGGCUCGAAAGUGUGGGUAGCAAACAGGAUUAGAUACCCUGGUAGUCCACACUGUAAACGAUGAUUACUAGGUGUUGGAGGAUUGACCCCUUCAGUGCCGCAGUUAACACAAUAAGUAAUCCACCUGGGGAGUACGACCGCAAGGUUGAAACUCAAAGGAAUUGACGGGGGCCCGCACAAGCAGUGGAGUAUGUGGUUUAAUUCGACGCAACGCGGAGAACCUUACCAAGUCUUGACAUCCUGCGACGCACAUAGAAAUAUGUGUUUCCUUCGGGACGCAGAGACAGGUGGUGCUUGGUUGUCGUCAGCUCGUGUCGUGAGAUGUUGGGUUAAGUCCCGCAACGAGCGCAACCCUUAUGGUCAGUUACUACGCAAGAGGACUCUGGCCAGACUGCCGUUGACAUAACGGAGGAAGGUGGGGAUGACGUCAAAUCAUCAUGCCCUUUAUGACUUGGGCUACACACGUACUACAAUGGCGUUAAACAAAGAGAAGCAAGACCGCGAGGUGGAGCAAAACUCAGAAACAACGUCCCAGUUCGGACUGCAGGCUGCAACUCGCCUGCACGAAGUCGGAAUUGCUAGUAAUCGCAGAUCAGCAUGCUGCGGUGAAUACGUUCCCGGGCCUUGUACACACCGCCCGUCA
rnacentral:rRNA from 1 species